rnacentral:tRNA from 1 species
GUGGCUAUAGCUCAGUGGUAGAGCUUAUGCUUAGCAAAUGCAUGAGGUCCUGGUUCAAUUCCCAGUACCUCCA